CUCUGACAUCUAUAAUACAAUGAGUGACCUCAGUUACAGGCCAUUCAAAAUAUCAGGCACAGAUGUACAUAGCAGAAGUCAUAAUAUGUAGCUGACCCUGUGCUUCCCUGGGGAACAGUGGAGAGCCUAUCACUCUGCACAUUUACUUAUUCAACACACAGUGAAUCGACUCCAUUGGAGUAGAAUACACUGCUUGCUUCUCACACAUGCUCUGAAUUUUCUGAGCGAGCCCUGUGGAGGUUCCUAGCACGGAGAUGUCUGCCUUUUUUUAUCUUGUUUGGAUUCUGUUGUAGCUCAGAUGUCAGCUCUUCAGAACUUUCUAUUUCCAUUCCCUUUCACUGGGGAUAUCUUAGUCACAAGAUCACAAGAAAAGCAUGAAUUCAAGCUCAGAAGAAGG